rnacentral:rRNA from 1 species
GGCGAACGGGUGAGUAACACGUGGGUGAUCUGCCUUGCACUUCGGGAUAAGCCUGGGAAACUGGGUCUAAUACCGGAUAGGACCAUGCUUUAGUGUGUGUGGUGGAAAGUUUUUCGGUGCAAGAUGAGCCCGCGGCCUAUCAGCUUGUUGGUGGGGUAAUGGCCUACCAAGGCGUCGAUGGGUAGCCGGCCUGAGAGGGUGUACGGCCACAUUGGGACUGAGAUACGGCCCAG